UGGGGAAUUUUGGACAAUGGGGGAAACCCUGAUCCAGCCAUGCCGCGUGAGUGAAGAAGGCCUUCGGGUUGUAAAGCUCUUUCGGCGGGGACGAAACGGUCCGUGACAACACCACGGACUAAUGACGGUACUCGCAGAAGAAGCACCGGCUAACUACGUGCCAGCAGCCGCGGUAAUACGUAGGGUGCAGGCGUUAAUCGGAAUUACUGGGCGUAAAGCGUGCGCAGGCGGCCUCUUAAGUCAGAUGUGAAAUCCCCGGGCUUAACCUGGGAACUGCGUUUGAAACUGGGAGGCUUGAGUGUGGAAGAGGGGGGUGGAAUUCCAGGUGUAGCAGUGAAAUGCGUAGAGAUCUGGAGGAACACCGAUGGCGAAGGCAGCCCCCUGGGCUGACACUGACGCUCAUGCACGAAAGCGUGGGGAGCAAACAGG
rnacentral:rRNA from 1 species